GCCAUGAUCGUAUAGUGGUUGGUGCAUUGCGUUGUGGUCGCAAUAUCCCGGUUCUAAUCCUGAUCGUAACA